rnacentral:tmRNA from 1 species
CCCCUCGAAUUCGGACAGGCGGUGCUCUAUAUGUUGCACGUCGCUUCGGCGACUAUGGCGAUAAACACGGCCCGGAAUAAGCGUUGCGGACCCGGGGGCAGUGCCCGGCGCCUCCACCAGUCUCCCCCGCCGGCCGGGCGGGGCUUCGGGGGCGAAACAGGCUCGACGCGCGUGGUAAAGGGGCCGCUUUUGCCCGGCAUGGUUCCGCCGUUAUCGGGCCGAUCGAUAAGUGCGAACGACAACAGCCGCGAGGCUGUCGCACUCGCUGCCUAAAUAGGUAAGCGCGGCUCGGGGGGCGCCGGGCAACAGAAGCCCCCCACU